rnacentral:rRNA from 1 species
AGAGUUUGAUCCUGGCUCAGGACGAACGCUGGCGGCGCGCCUAACACAUGCAAGUCGAACGGAGCUGAGAGGAGCUUGCUUUUCUUAGCUUAGUGGCGAACGGGUGAGUAACGCGUGAGUAACCUGCCCUGGAGUGGGGGACAACAGUUGGAAACGACUGCUAAUACCGCAUAAGCCCACGGUACCGCAUGGUACUGAGGGAAAAGGAUUUAUUCGCUUUAGGAUGGACUCGCGUCCAAUUAGCUAGUUGGUGAGGUAACGGCCCACCAAGGCGACGAUUGGUAGCCGGACUGAGAGGUUGAACGGCCACAUUGGGACUGAGACACGGCCCAGACUCCUACGGGAGGCAGCAGUGGGGGAUAUUGCACAAUGGGGGAAACCCUGAUGCAGCGACGCCGCGUGGAGGAAGAAGGUUUUCGGAUUGUAAACUCCUGUCGUUAGGGACGAUAAUGACGGUACCUAACAAGAAAGCACCGGCUAACUACGUGCCAGCAGCCGCGGUAAAACGUAGGGUGCAAGCGUUGUCCGGAAUUACUGGGUGUAAAGGGAGCGCAGGCGGACCGGCAAGUUGGAAGUGAAAACUAUGGGCUCAACCCAUAAAUUGCUUUCAAAACUGCUGGCCUUGAGUAGUGCAGAGGUAGGUGGAAUUCCCGGUGUAGCGGUGGAAUGCGUAGAUAUCGGGAGGAACACCAGUGGCGAAGGCGACCUACUGGGCACCAACUGACGCUGAGGCUCGAAAGCAUGGGUAGCAAACAGGAUUAGAUACCCUGGUAGUCCAUGCCGUAAACGAUGAUUACUAGGUGUUGGAGGAUUGACCCCUUCAGUGCCGCAGUUAACACAAUAAGUAAUCCACCUGGGGAGUACGACCGCAAGGUUGAAACUCAAAGGAAUUGACGGGGGCCCGCACAAGCAGUGGAGUAUGUGGUUUAAUUCGAAGCAACGCGAAGAACCUUACCAGGUCUUGACAUCCGAU